AGGGUGCCCGAAAGGGAACCUGAACACAGGUGCUGCAUGGCUGUCGUCAGCUCGUGUCGUGAGAUGUUGGGUUAAGUCCCGCAACGAGCGCAACCCUCGCCUCUAGUUGCCAGCAUUCGGUUGGGCACUCUAGGGGGACUGCCGGCGACAAGUCGGAGGAGGUGGGAUGACGUCAAAUCAUCAUGCCCCUUAUGACCUGGGCUACACACGUGCUACAAUGGGCGGUACAAAGGGCUGCGAACCCGCGAGGGGGGAGCGAAUCCCAAAAAGCCGCUCUCAGUUCGGAUUGCAGGCUGCAACUCGCCUGCAUGAAGCCGGAAUCGCUAGUAAUCGCGGAUCAGCAUGCCGCGGUCGAAUACGUUCCCGGGCCUU
rnacentral:rRNA from 1 species